ensembl:lncRNA
GCCAUGGCCACGGUGGAAAGAGGGGCCAGAAGUGACUUAGGAGAGAUGGACAGUUCAGCUGAAGGGUAUUACUAACUACUCCCUAUCUGGUGAAAAUAAGUGAGCAAUUAGGGCAGUUACAUUGGACCUGGAGACCAUCAAGUUGUUAAUUGGCGAAAACUGCUGCCUGACUUGAAGCCUUUAAAGAGUUCUUAGUAUCAGACAGGGACAGCCAGGAGACACUACUUGCAUUCGCUUCAGUAAAGGGAACAUCCUGGAGGUUUUUGAAACGUCUUAAAAGUGGUAGCAGACAGCAAAGCUAAGGAACUCAAUACUUGAAAAAGGGACCAGAGGAAAAAUGAAUUAAUGAAGCCUUUCCAAGCCCUGACUGUUAUAGAGACCAUCUGUGGUCCGCCUGCCCAGUGCCUUUUAUCUACAGAGGGGUCAUCUCCUUCUUCAAGGAAAUCACAUGUCCCGGACCCUGCUCUUAUGAUUUGGAUGGAAAGGACACAACCCUCUGGCUUUGGUGGGAACUCAGAUCCAACCAAUGAGAACACUGCAUCCCUCGGCCACAGUAACUAAUGCUGAGUUUGACCCUUGACUGAUGCCAGAGCAAACAGAGACAGCCC